GCCUGGCUGGCUCAAUCGGGAGCGUGAGACUUUUGAUCUCAGGGUUGUGGGUUCGAACCCCAUGUUGGGUG